rnacentral:tRNA from 4 species
GCGGAGAUGGCUGAGCGGUUUAAGGCGCACGAUUGGAAAUCGUGUGAGGUCAAAAGCCUCCGGAGGUUCAAAUCCUCUUCUCCGCGCCA